rnacentral:rRNA from 1 species
AUGCCUGUACCAUAACCGACACAGGUGGGUAGGUAGAGUAUACUAAGGGGCGCGAGAUAACUCUCUCUAAGGAACUCGGCAAAAUGACUCCGUAACUUCGGGAGAAGGAGUGCCUUAUUUAUAAGGUUGCAAUAACAAGAUCCAAGCAACUGUUUAUCAAAAACACAGGUCUCCGCUAAGUCGUAAGACGAUGUAUGGGGGCUGACGCCUGCCCAGUGCCAGAAGGUUAAAGAAGUUGGUUAGUGUAUGCGAAGCUGAUGACUGAAGCCCUGGUGAACGGCGGCCGUAACUAUAACGGUCCUAAGGUAGCGAAAUUCCUUGUCGGGUAAGUUCCGACCCGCACGAAAGGCGUAAUGAUUUGGAUACUGUCUCGGAGAGAGGCUCGGUGAAAUAGACUUGUCUGUGAAGAUGCGGACUACCUGCACCAGGACAGAAAGACCCUAUGAAGCUUUACUGUAACUUGAAAUUGGAAUUGGACUUUGCUUGCGCAGUAUAGGUGGGAAGCGUUGAAGAUAUUCUUGCGGGAGUAUUGGAGCUAUCAGUGAGAUACCACUCUUGUAAUGUUAGAUUUCUAACUUUGAACCAUAAUCUGGUCAAAGAACAGUUUCAGGUGGGCAGUUUGACUGGGGCGGUCGCCUCCCAAAUGGUAACGGAGGCGUACAAGGGUUUCCUCUGAACGGAUAGAAAUCGUAUCUAGAGUGUAAAGGCAUAAGGAAGCUUGACUGUGAGACCUACAAGUCGAGCAGGGACGAAAGUCGGUCUUAGUGAUCUGACGGUACUGAGUGGAAAGGCCGUCACUCAACGGAUAAAAGUUACUCUAAGGAUAACAGGCUGAUCUCCCCCAAGAGUUCACAUCGACGGGGAGGUUUGGCACCUCGAUGUCGGCUCAUCGCAUCCUGGGGCGGUAGUACGUCCCAAGGGUUGGGCUGUUCGCCCAUGAAAGCGGUACGCGAGCUGGGUUCAGAACGUCGUGAGACAGUUCGGUCCAUAUCCGGUGUAGGCGUUAGAAUAUUGAGAGGAGCCUUCUUUAGUACGAGAGGACCGAGAAGGACACACCGCUGGUGUACCAGUUAUCGUGCCAACGGUAAACGCUGGGUAGCUAUGUGUGGAGUGGAUAACCGCUGAAAGCAUCUAAGUGGGAAGCCCACCUCAAGAUGAGUAUUCUGGUGUAAGGUCACGGGAAGACGACCCGUAAAUAGGCACGAGGUGGAAGUGCAGAGAUGUAUGAAGCCGAAGUGUACUAAUAGACCGUCGGCUUGACC